CACUUGCUCAACGCACAGGACAUGCCUACCAAGAAGGGGCUGUUCAGUACAGCAGCUGCCGCAGCUGUGGGCAAGGUGACCGUGAAAGCUGCCCCCAAGGGAGCCGAGAUCUGCGCCUUUUCUUCACCUGAUGAGGCCAGCAUCGACAAAGGCUACAAAGUGUACCUGGGAAACUGUGCGGCUUGUCACGAUGGAGGCGGGAAUUAGCAGGAAGUGACGUCAUCUAACAACAGGAAGUGACGUCACUACACGUAGUUUAGAGAAUGUGACAUGUCGUUAAUAGAUUAUCAUUUACAACUCCCGUCUACAACUCUGAAACUUGUUCUUGCACAAUUGAACAGUUUAUACACUAUGUACCAUUGCUACGUAGUAACAACAUCUCUGUAAUGCACUUAUAUAUCGAUACAAAUCUAAUUGCAGUUUGACAAGAAUUUGAGGUCGACAGUUUCGAAAAUCAUUAUUCCAAUUUGUUUGCAAUAUUGCCAUACAUAAACCCUUUUAAGUUUCUUGAUACAGGUACAAUACCAGAUUUCUGACUCACAACUGUAUUCUAAACAUCAGACAGAGAGGGCAAAAACGACUCAGCAAACAGUAAUUGAAACAAAACAGCGACAUUAACAUGUGAAGACUGCGUGUUCUGGAGCGGCAAAUGUCACCGUAGUUUAGCAUUUAAAAAUGGUACGAAUAACGGUAUGUAAAUGUGUACCAUUUUGUGCUGCAAUAAAAUCUCUUCAGCAUUGUGUUCCAAA